GUGGGGAAUCUUGCGCAAUGGGCGAAAGCCUGACGCAGCCAUGCCGCGUGAAUGAUGAAGGUCUUAGGAUUGUAAAAUUCUUUCACCGGGGACGAUAAUGACGGUACCCGGAGAAGAAGCUCCGGCUAACUUCGUGCCAGCAGCCGCGGUAAUACGAAGGGGGCAAGCGUUGUCCGGAAUGAUUGGGCGUAAAGGGCGCGUAGGCGGCCUGGUAAGUCUGGAGUGAAAGUCCUGCUUUUAAGGUGGGAAUUGCUUUGGAUACUGUCGGGCUUGAGUGCAGGAGAGGUAAGCGGAAUUCCCGGUGUAGCGGUGAAAUGCGUAGAGAUCGGGAGGAACACCAGUGGCGAAGGCGGCUUACUGGACUGUAACUGACGCUGAGGCGCGAAAGUGUGGGGAGCAAACAGGAUUAGAAACCCGGGUAGUCC
rnacentral:rRNA from 1 species